rnacentral:rRNA from 2 species
GGCGCAGGGGGUCCUGCUAAUAAUGCAGUCGAACGAGUUCUCGUUGAUGAUCGGUGCUUGCACCGAGAUUCAACAUGGAACGAGUGGCGGACGGGUGAGUAACACGUGGGUAACCUGCCCUUAAGUGGGGGAUAACAUUUGGAAACAGAUGCUAAUACCGCAUAGAUCCAAGAACCGCAUGGUUCUUGGCUGAAAGAUGGCGUAAGCUAUCGCUUUUGGAUGGACCCGCGGCGUAUUAGCUAGUUGGUGAGGUAAUGGCUCACCAAGGCGAUGAUACGUAGCCGAACUGAGAGGUUGAUCGGCCACAUUGGGACUGAGACACGGCCCAAACUCCUACGGGAGGCAGCAGUAGGGAAUCUUCCACAAUGGACGCAAGUCUGAUGGAGCAACGCCGCGUGAGUGAAGAAGGCUUUCGGGUCGUAAAACUCUGUUGUUGGAGAAGAAUGGUCGGCAGAGUAACUGUUGUCGGCGUGACGGUAUCCAACCAGAAAGCCACGGCUAACUACGUGCCAGCAGCCGCGGUAAUACGUAGGUGGCAAGCGUUAUCCGGAUUUAUUGGGCGUAAAGCGAGCGCAGGCGGUUUUUUAAGUCUGAUGUGAAAGCCCUCGGCUUAACCGAGGAAGCGCAUCGGAAACUGGGAAACUUGAGUGCAGAAGAGGACAGUGGAACUCCAUGUGUAGCGGUGAAAUGCGUAGAUAUAUGGAAGAACACCAGUGGCGAAGGCGGCUGUCUGGUCUGUAACUGACGCUGAGGCUCGAAAGCAUGGGUAGCGAACAGGAUUAGAUACCCUGGUAGUCCAUGCCGUAAACGAUGAAUGCUAGGUGUUUGGAAGGGUUUCCGCCCCUUCAGUGCCGGCACUAACGCAUUUAAGCAUUCCCGCCUGGGGGAGUACCGACCGCAAGGUUGAAACUCAAAGGAAUUGACGGGGGCCCGCACAAGCGGUGGAGCAUGUGGUUUAAUUCGAAGCAACGCGAAGAACCUUACCAGGUCUUGACAUCUUUUGAUCACCUGAGAGAUCAGGUUUCCCCUUCGGGGGCAAAAUGACAGGUGGGUGCAUGGGUUGUCGUCAGCUCGUGUCGUGAAAAUGUUGGGGUUAAGUCCCCGCACCAAGCGCAACCCCUUUUGACUAAUUUGCCACCCAUUUAAUUUGGGGACUCCUAUUAAAAACUGCCCGGUGACAAACCCGAGGGAGAGGGGGGGGAGAGACGCCCAAAAAAUCAAUGCCCCCCUUUAAACCUGGGGGUACAACCAGUGGCAA